GUUAGUGGCUCCUUGGUCCCUGGCCAUCCCCAGGAGCAGUGGCUUCCUUCUGGCUCCCUCUCUAAUCCCCCCGGGACUGUCUCUUUGCUGUCCUCUCUGCUGCUGACCCCACAGCCGACCCUGUGGCCUGAGACGCUGCCAGGCCCUGACACUGCAGAAGGCCAAGGACUGCAGCUCUGAGUGGAGCCACCAUGAAGAGUUCCUUUCCCCAAACAAUUCUGUGAGCCAAGAAAGUGUCUGUGCAGAUGAAGUGUGCAGUCUUGCACGAGGAGCCCCAGCCGGGCCUUGCAUGCUGGCUGAGCCCCUGGCGCUGUGCCCAGAGUGCGGAGGGCUGAGGCGUCCUCACAGUCUGCACGGAGCACCUGAUCUUUCUCCAGACUGUGGUCAGCAGCAAGUGCUGGCUUAGCAACAGAUCGAAAUAGGAAGUCCCAACCCUUGGGGUUGAUCUAGGACAUUGCCCCGAGCUCCUUCCCUCCUGGAGAAGGUGGGACUCUUCCGGCCACAGGAGCAGGCUGGUGGCAGGUGGAAGCUGUCCGACUCAGCUCUCUCCUGCGUGAUUCUUUUCCUCUCCCAUGCAACCUGAAAUCAGGAAUGCAUGGGAUGGAAUGAGAGGAGCUGCAGGUGGUACCAGCCCAGAUUGCUGAGUCACUACAUCAAAGGAGGAACCUGGGCAUUGCUCAACUUGAGUUAGUACAGAAGCACCAGUAAAAGACACGAAGAACCAGAAAUGGGAAUCAAAAUGCAAAGCCAGAAAAUCAGAGGCCUUCUACAACCUAUCAGGUGGAAUAGGUCAUGGUCCAGUUUUUGGAUUCUACAACACCAACUAGGCAUCCUAUAUUUCCAUCCAAUUUUGACACUCAUUCCCCAGAGUCAGCAUCAGUUCCAACAGAUUGAAGGGCUCAAUCCCACCAGACUGCCACCACUUCAGAUGCCAGUCACAAGUCCUGGACCACUUGUACUUCUGAGCAACGGGCGAUAAAUCAGGGAGUCCCAUGACUUCUCUUCAGGUUCGAUAAUUUGCUGGAACAACUCUCAGGACUCAGGAAAGUGCUUUUCUUAAUGUUACUGGUUUAUCAUAAGAAUACAACUCAGAAAUAGCUGAAUUGAAGAGAUACAGAGGGCAAAGUAUGGGGGAAGGGGCACAGAGCUUCUGUGCCCUCUCUGGGUCCAUCGCCCUCCCAGCACCUUGAUAUGCUCACUGACCUGGAAACUUCCUGAGCCCCUUUAUUUAGGGGCUUUUAUGGAGGUGCCAUUACACAGCCAUGAAUAAUUAAAUCACCGGCCAGUGGCGACUCACUCAGCCUCCAACCCUUCACCUUUCUCUCCUCCCUGGAGGUCGUGGAGGAGCCUGAAAGCUCCAACUGUCUAAUCACACCUAGGUUGUUCUGGUGACCCCCAUGUCCCAUCCUGAUGCUUACCCAGAGGCCUCUCAAUAGCAUACAGAAGACAACUCUUGUCUCUGUGAAGAUUCCAAGAGCUUGGGGAGUUCUUGGAACCAAGAGGAACUAAGGAUAAAGACCAACUAUUUUUUCGUUAUACCACAAUGAUUGAGACUGGUCUAUGAUUUUUCUCUUUGUGCAAUAACCUAGUCCAGUUUCUUUCUUCUUUUUUUUUUCCUAUAGAGGUUAUAUUGGCCAUAUAAAAAGAGUUGGGAAGGGUACAUGGUUUUUUCUGUUUUCUGGAAGAGUUGGUGCAAGAUUGUUAUUCUUUAAGUAUUUGAAAGAAUUAAUUGAUGAAGCCAUCAAGUUGUCAAAUAAUAGAUCCAAUUUAUUUAUUGCAUAUUGGAUAUUCUGAUUUUCUUUUCUUUUUCUAGUCCAUUUUGGAAAGCUGCAUUUCUCAAGGAAUUUGUCCAUUUCAUUCAAACUGCCAAAACAAACAAACAAUAAAGUUUUUAUUUUUUGGUGCUGGG